rnacentral:rRNA from 1 species
AGAGCGAACGCUGGCGGCAGGCCUAACACAUGCAAGUCGAACGAACUCUUCGGAGUUAGUGGCGGACGGGUGAGUAACACGUGGGAACGUGCCUUUUGGUUCGGAAUAACUCAGGGAAACUUGUGCUAAUACCGAAUGUGCCCUUCGGGGGAAAGAUUUAUCGCCAUUAGAGCGGCCCGCGUCUGAUUAGCUUGUUGGUGAGGUAAUGGCUCACCAAGGCUACGAUCAGUAGCUGGUCUGAGAGGAUGACCAGCCACAUUGGGACUGAGACACGGCCCAAACUCCUACGGGAGGCAGCAGUGGGGAAUCUUGCGCAAUGGGCGAAAGCCUGACGCAGCCAUGCCGCGUGUAUGAUGAAGGUCUUAGGAUUGUAAAUACUUUCACCGUGAAGAUAAUGACUGUAGCCGGAGAAGAAGCCCCCGGCUAACUUCGCGCCAGCAGCCGC